rnacentral:rRNA from 1 species
AUUGAACGCUGGCGGCAUGCUUUACACAUGCAAGUCGAACGGUAACAGGGAGCUUGCUCCGCUGACGAGUGGCGAACGGGUGAGUAAUGCGUCGGAACGUGCCGAGUAGUGGGGGAUAACGCAGCGAAAGUUGUGCUAAUACCGCAUACGUACUGAGGUAGAAAGUGGGGGACCUUCGGGCCUCACGCUAUUCGAGCGGCCGACGUCUGAUUAGCUAGUAGGUGAGGUAAAGGCUCACCUAGGCGACGAUCAGUAGCGGGUCUGAGGGGAUGAUCCGCCACACUGGGAUUGAGACACGGCCCAGACUCCUACGGGAGGCAGCAGUGGGGAAUUUUGGACAAUGGGCGAAAGCCUGAUCCAGCCAUGCCGCGUGUCUGAAGAAGGCCUUCGGGUUGUAAAGGACUUUUGUCGGGGAGGAAAUCCCCAGCGCUAAUACCGCUGGGGGAUGACAGUACCUGAAGAAUAAGCACCGGCUAACUACGUGCCAGCCGCCGCCGUAAGAC